AGAGUUUGAUCAUGGCUCAGGAUGAACGCUGGCGGCGUGCUUAACACAUGCAAGUCGAACGCUGAAGCCCCAGCUUGCUGGGGUGGAUGAGUGGCGAACGGGUGAGUAACACGUGAGUAACCUUCCCUUGACUCUGGGAUAAGCCCGGGAAACUGGGUCUAAUACCGGAUACGACCUCCUGCCGCAUGGUGUGGGGGUGGAAAGAUUUAUCGGUUUUGGAUGGACUCGCGGCCUAUCGGCUUGUUGGUGAGGUAAUGGCUCACCAAGGCGACGACGGGUAGCCGGCCUGAGAGGGUGACCGGCCACACUGGGACUGAGACACGGCCCAGACUCCUACGGGAGGCAGCAGUGGGGAAUAUUGCACAAUGGGCGCAAGCCUGAUGCAGCGACGCCGCGUGAGGGAUGACGGCCUUCGGGUUGUAAACCUCUUUCAGUAGGGAAGAAGCGAAAGUGACGGUACCUGCAGAAGAAGCGCCGGCUAACUACGUGCCAGCAGCCGCGGUAAUACGUAGGGCGCGAGCGUUAUCCGGAAUUAUUGGGCGUAAAGAGCUCGUAGGCGGUUUGUCGCGUCUGCCGUGAAAGUCCGGGGCUUAACCCCGGAUCUGCGGUGGGUACGGGCAGACUAGAGUGCAGUAGGGGAGACUGGAAUUCCUGGUGUAGCGGUGAAAUGCGCAGAUAUCAGGAGGAACACCGAUGGCGAAGGCAGGUCUCUGGGCUGUUACUGACGCUGAGGAGCGAAAGCAUGGGGAGCGAACAGGAUUAGAUACCCUGGUAGUCCAUGCCGUAAACGUUGGGCACUAGGUGUGGGGGACAUUCCACGUUUUCCGCGCCGCAGCUAACGCAUUAAGUGCCCCGCCUGGGGAGUACG
rnacentral:rRNA from 1 species